UACGUAGGUGGCAAGCGUUGUCCGGAUUUACUGGGCGUAAAGAGCGCGCAGGCGGUCGUUCAAGUCGCGUGUGAAAGCCCCCGGCUCAACUGGGGAGGGUCACGCGAUACUGAUCGACUCGAAGGCAGGAGAGGGUAGUGGAAUUCCCGGUGUAGUGGUGAAAUGCGUAGAUAUCGGGAGGAACCCCAGGGGGGGAGGCGACUUACUGGGCUGUUCUUGACGCUGAGGCGCGAAAGCGUGGGGAGCAAACAGG
rnacentral:rRNA from 1 species